rnacentral:rRNA from 1 species
CUGGCUCAGGACGAACGCUGGCGGCGUGCCUAACACAUGCAAGUCGAGCGGGGACAUUGCGACGGAGACGAAGUACUCGUACGGAGUCAAAGAUGUAAUGUUCUAGCGGCGGACGGGUGAGUAACGCGUGAGCAACCUGUCCCUUACAGGGGGAUAACACAGCGAAAGUUGUACUAAUACCGCAUGAGACCACAGGAUGACAUCGUCCAGGGGUCAAAGGAGCAAUCCGGUAAGGGGUGGGCUCGCGUCCGAUUAGAUAGUUGGUGAGGUAACGGCCCACCAAGUCGAUGAUCGGUAGCCGACCUGAGAGGGUGAUCGGCCACAUUGGGACUGAGACACGGCCCAAACUCCUACGGGAGGCAGCAGUGGGGAAUAUUGGGCAAUGGGGGGAAACCCUGACCCAGCAACGCCGCGUGAGGGAAGAAGGUUUUCGGAUCGUAAACCUCUGUCCCAGGUGAAGAGGAAGAGACGGUAGCCUGGGAGGAAGCCCCGGCUAACUACGUGCCAGCCGCCGC